CCUACGGGCGGCAGCAGUCGAGAAUCAUUCACAAUGGGGGAAACCCUGAUGGUGCGACGCCGCGUGGGGGAAUGAAGGUCUUCGGAUUGUAAACCCCUGUCAUGUGGGAGCAAAUUAAAAAGAUAGUACCACAAGAGGAAGAGACGGCUAACUCUGUGCCAGCAGCCGCGGUAAUACAGAGGUCUCAAGCGUUGUUCGGAAUCACUGGGCGUAAGGCGUGCGUAGGCUGUUUCGUAAGUCGGGUGUGAAAGGCGCGGGCUCAACCCGCGGACGGCACAUGAUACUGCGAGACUAGAGUAAUGGAGGGGGAACCGGAAUUCUCGGUGUAGCAGUGAAAUGCGUAGAUAUCGAGAGGAACACUCGUGGCGAAGGCGGGUUCCUGGACAUUAACUGACGCUGAGGCACGAAGGCCAGGGGAGCGAAAGGGAUUAGAUACCCUUGUAGUC
rnacentral:rRNA from 1 species